CUCUUUUAUCUAAAGUAAUCAGGAAUAUUUUAUUACUAGUGUUCUGGUCUAAAAAGAGGUGCAAAAAUUUAAAAGGCUUGGAGUUACAAAUGGAAUGUUGGCUGUGGAUGUACACAUUGGUCGCAUUACUCCAUCAUAGUCUCCAUGAGAAGUUUGAGCAAUCCUUUUUUGUCACAUUACUCAUAACAUCCAUGUUUCAGGUUUUCUGUG